GACGGAGGGGGCUAGCGUUGUUCGGAAUUACUGGGCGUAAAGAGUGCGUAGGCGGUUUAGUAAGUUGGAAGUGAAAGCCCAAGGCUUAACCUUGGAACUGCUUUCAAAACUACUAAUCUAGAGUGUAGUAGGGGAUGAUGGAAUUCCUGGUGUAGAGGUGAAAUUCUUAGAUAUCAGGAGGAACACCGGUGGCGAAGGCGAUCAUCUGGGCUACAACUGACGCUGAUGCACGAAAGCGUGGGGAGCAAACAGG
rnacentral:rRNA from 1 species